UAGGGAAUCUUCCGCAAUGGGCGAAAGCCUGACGGAGCAACGCCGCGUGAGUGAUGAAGGUCUUCGGAUCGUAAAACUCUGUUAUUAGGGAAGAACAAAUGUGUAAGUAACUAUGCACGUCUUGAUGGUACCUAAUCAGAAAGCCACGGCUAACUACGUGCCAGCAGCCGCGGUAAUACGUAGGUGGCAAGCGUUAUCCGGAAUUAUUGGGCGUAAAGCGCGCGUAGGCGGUUUUUUAAGUCUGAUGUGAAAGCCCACGGCUCAACCGUGGAGGAUCAUUGGAAACUGGAGAACUUGAGUGCAGAAGAGGGAAGUGGGAUUCCAUGUGUAGCGGUGAGAUGCGCAGAGAUAUGGGGGAAAACCAGUGGCGAAGGCGACUUUCUGGUCUGUAACUGACGCUGAUGUGCGAAAGCGUGGGGAUCAAACAGG
rnacentral:rRNA from 1 species